rnacentral:tRNA from 1 species
ACAUUGGUAGCUCAGUGGUAAAAUUCUCACCUUACCUGAGGGAGACCCAGGUUCGAUUCCUGGCCAGUGCA